rnacentral:rRNA from 1 species
AAUCAACGCUGGCGGCGUGCCUAACACAUGCAAGUCGAGCGGGAAAGGGGCUUCGGUCCCUGAGUAUAGCGGCGGACGGGUGAGUAACACGUGGGUAAUUUGCCCUUGGGUGUGGAAUAACUCAGGGAAACUUGAGCUAAUACCGCAUGACAUCCCCUUCACACACGAGUUGGGGAUCAAAGCCGGGGACCCUUCGGGGCCUGGCGCCUGAGGAGAAGCCCGCGCCCGAUUAGCUAGUUGGGA